rnacentral:rRNA from 1 species
GACAGAGGGGGCAAGCGUUGUCCGGAGUUACUGGGCGUAAAGCGCGCGUAGGCGGUACGGUAAGUAAGGUGUGAAAGCCCCAGGCUUAACCUGGGGAGGUCAUCUUCGACUGCCGCACUCGAGACCUGCAGAGGAUUGUGGAAUUGCCGGUGUAGUGGUGAAAUGCGUAGAGAUCGGCAGGAACACCAAGGGCGGAAGCAGCAAUCUGGGCAGGGUCUGACGCUGAGGUGCGAAAGCGUGGGGAGCGAACCGG